rnacentral:antisense_RNA from 1 species
CUUGAUGGUGGCUGUGCGUAGGGCACCUUCGGGUGCGCCGGCUUUGCGCCGUUCCCCCGGUCUACUAACCUGCGUACAGCUGCCACCCCU